AUACAAAUUUUAAAGUAAAUUAAAAUUAAAUGUAAAUAUCAAUCAAUUAUUAUAAUAUAUUUACUUUAUAAAUAUCUAUAAUCUGUGCAUGAACACGGGAAAGUCAACUAGUAAAUAUUUUAAAAGAAGUUGAACAUGAUAAAACAAAAUCAUUUUCUAUUGUUCUCCAUUUAGUAAUAGCAUAGAGAUGGUUGAAUAAUUUAUUACCUUCUUUUUUUACGUAAUUAAGAGUACCAAAAAAAAAUGUUGAAAUUUUUUUUUUUGGAACACGUUAAAAAUAUAUUUAAUGGAGAUUAAUUACCCAUUAUAUAAAUGUCUGACUUCGAGAGUAACCAAGCGACUUCUUAGUCUAAACGACAUUCAACCUGUUCAUCUUCUUCCCCAGCCAAAUCAAACCUCGGCAAUGGCUGAAUCUCACACGCGGGAGACUAACUGCGUGUACGUAGAGACCAGCCUAGACACUCAUCUCCUGGUUCUCCUUCACGACCGUGAAACCAUUUCCGAUUUCAAAGUGAAACUAUGCAAGGAGCAUCAUCAGUGUUUUCCCCAACUUGGAAAAAUUGAUAUAUCUGCGGUUAAGGUUAAUCGUCAGAAUACAUUGGGUCUCCUUUUAGAUUAUCACUUGCCAGAUUCUAUGCUCCUGAGUAUGGUUUUCAACGGCAUCGGUCAUAAUUGUUGGUUUGUGUUUGUUGAUGCUGCCGU